GUUGAUUGGUGAAAUUCCAAAGAAAAUGAAUCAUCUUCAGAAUCUGAAGGUAUUGUCAUUCCCAAUGAACAACUUAACAGGUUCCAUACCGGCCACCAUUUUCAACAUAUCUUCUUUGCUCAAUAUUAGUCUCUCCAAUAAUAACCUCUCUGGGAGUCUUCCCAUGGAUAUGUGCUACGCCAAUCCAAAGCUCAAGGAGCUUAAUCUUUCAUCAAAUCAUUUGAGUGGAAAGAUCCCCACUGGUUUAGGCCAAUGUAUACAGCUUCAAGUAAUUUCCUUAGCAUAUAAUGAUUUCACGGGAAGCAUACCAAAUGGAAUCGGUAACUUGGUGGAGCUUCAGAGAUUGUCUCUACGGAAUAACAGCCUGACAGGUACACUUUUUCUUUCAUCUAUUUUUUUUUUCCUUUUUAUUCUCUCACUUUCCCUCAAGCUUCAGAGAUUGUUUUUCCGACCCAUUCAUUUUAAAUGUGUUGUAGGAGAAAUCCCCUCCAAUUUGUCGCAUUGCAGAGAGCUUCGAGGGCUAUCAUUAUCAAUCAAUCAGUUCACUGGAGGCAUUCCACAAGCCAUAGGGAGUUUAUCCAACCUUGAAGAAUUAUAUCUUAAUUAUAACAAAUUGACAGGUGGAAUUCCUAGAGAGAUUGGGAAUCUUUCAAAUUUAAAUAUUUUGCAGUUAGGAUCUAAUGGAAUCAGUGGCCCUAUUCCUGCCGAAAUUUUCACUGUCUCUUCGUUGCAAAGGAUUAUAUUCGCGAAUAAUAGCCUUUCUGGGAGUCUUCCAAUGGAUAUCUGUAAACAUCUUCCUAAUCUCCAAGGGCUCUAUCUUUCUCAGAAUCAUCUCAGUGGUCAACUUCCUACAACUCUAUCCUUAUGUAGAGAGCUCCUAUCACUAGCACUACCAAUGAAUAAAUUCACAGGAAGCAUACCAAGAGAAAUUGGCAACUUAUCAAAGCUUGAAGAGAUCGAUCUCAGCGAAAAUAGCCUCAUAGGUUCCAUUCCAACUUCAUUUGGUAAUUUGAUGACCUUAAAAUUUCUUAGUUUUAACAUCUCUAAACUACAGACCCUUGGGUUGGUGCAAAAUCACCUUUCAGGCAGUCUCCCAUCAAGUAUUGGCACCUGGCUUCCGGAUCUUGAAGGGCUUUAUAUAGGAAUCAAUGAAUUCAGUGGAACAAUUCCAAUGUCUAUUUCAAAUAUGUCGAAACUUACUGUGCUAAGUUUAUCAGACAACUCCUUCACUGGUAAUGUGCCAAAAGAUCUCUGUAACCUGACAAAGCUUCAAUUUCUCGACCUUGCAUACAAUCAAUUGACUGAUGAACACUUAGCCUCUGGGGUUGGUUUUCUUACUUCUUUGACAAAUUGCAAAUUUUUGAGAAAUUUGUGGAUAGGUUAUAAUCCUUUGACAGGUACUCUUCCAAAUUCACUAGGGAAUCUUCCCAUUGCUCUUGAAAUUUUUAUUGCAUCAGCCUGCCAAUUCAGAGGAACCAUUCCCACAGGAAUUGGUAAUUUGACCAAUUUGAUAUGGCUGGACUUGGGAGCUAAUGACUUGACAGGGUCCAUUCCAACUACAUUGGGACAGCUACAAAAGCUUCAGGCAUUGUCCAUUGUUGGAAAUAGAAUACGAGGAUCCAUUCCAAAUGAUCUGUGCCAUUUGAAGAACUUGGGAUACUUGCGUUUGAGUUAUAACAAAUUGUCUGGAUCAAUCCCAAGUUGUUUUGGAGAUCUUCCUGCGCUACGAGAACUCUCUCUUGACUCCAAUGUGUUAGCUUUCAACAUUCCUAUGUCCUUUUGGAGCCUUAGAGAUCUGUUGGUUCUUAACUUGUCUUCAAAUUUCUUGACUGGUAAUCUACCUCCCGAAGUUGGAAACAUGAAGUCCAUUACAACAUUGGACUUGUCAAAGAACCUAGUUUCAGGUUACAUUCCAAGCAGGAUGGGAAAACUACAAAAUUUGAUUACACUCUCCUUGUCCCAAAACAAACUACAAGGCCCAAUACCUGUAGAAUUUGGUGAUUUGGUAAGCUUGGAAUCCUUGGAUCUAUCCCAGAACAAUUUAUCCGGAACCAUUCCCAAGACAUUGGAGGCCCUUAUUUAUCUCAAGUAUCUAAAUGUUUCUUUCAAUAAACUACAAGGAGAAAUUCCGAAUGGAGGACCUUUCGUAAAGUUCACUGCUGAAUCGUUCAUGUUCAAUGAAGCCUUAUGUGGAGCACCUCAUUUUCAAGUCAUGGCAUGUGAUAAAAACAACCGCACUCAAUCAUGGAAGACAAAGUCAUUCAUCUUGAAAUAUAUUCUAUUACCAGUCGGAUCAACAGUAACUUUAGUGGUUUUCAUUGUUCUGUGGAUACGUAGACGAGAUAACAUGGAAAUACCAACUCCAAUUGAUUCAUGGCUCCCUGGAACACAUGAAAAGAUUUCACACCAGCAGCUUCUUUAUGCAACAAACGACUUUGGUGAAGACAAUUUGAUUGGGAAAGGAAGCCAGGGCAUGGUAUAUAAAGGGGUAUUAUCUAAUGGCUUAACUGUUGCUAUAAAGGUUUUCAAUUUAGAAUUCCAAGGAGCCUUGAGGAGUUUCAAUUCAGAAUGUGAAGUGAUGCAAGGGAUUCGCCAUCGAAAUCUUGUUAGGAUAAUUACCUGUUGCUCAAACCUCGAUUUCAAAGCAUUGGUACUUAAAUAUAUGCCUAAUGGAAGUCUUGAGAAGUUGUUGUAUUCCCACUACUAUUUUUUGGAUCUCAUCCAAAGAUUAAACAUUAUGAUAGAUGUAGCAUCAGCAUUAGAGUACCUUCAUCAUGAUUGUUCGAGCCUUGUGGUGCAUUGCGACUUGAAGCCCAGUAAUGUUUUGUUAGAUGACGAUAUGGUUGCACAUGUGGCGGAUUUUGGGAUCGCAAAACUCUUGACUGAAACAGAGUCUAUGCAACAAACAAAGACCUUAAGCACAAUAGGCUAUAUGGCACCAGGUAAAGUUCCUUGCUACUUAUAUUCCUAUUUACUACAAAUUUUUUUUAAUAUCUACCUUAUUUUAUUUUUAUUUCUUCAAAUUUAUGACCAAAACUAACAUCACACACAAGCAGAGCAUGGCUCAGCUGGGAUAGUAUCCACAAAGAGCGAUGUUUAUAGCUAUGGGAUCUUGUUGAUGGAAGUAUUUGCAAGGAAGAAGCCUAUGGAUGAAAUGUUCACUGGGGAUCUAACCUUGAAGACUUGGGUAGAGUCAUUAUCCAAUUCAGUGAUACAGGUUGUUGAUGUCAAUCUAUUGAGAAGAGAAGAUGAAGACCUUGCCACAAAGCUAAGUUGUUUGUCCUCCAUUAUGGCUUUAGCUUUGGCAUGUACAACCGAUUCACCCGAGGAGCGGAUCGACAUGAAAGAUGCGGUAGUUGAACUCAAGAAGAGCAGAAUCAAACUAUUGAUGUAAGGAUUAUUUCAAAAGAUGGGAUGGAACUUAAUAACAUCAAAUUGUUACACAACAGUUGAUGUCAAUAGUUCAAAGGAAGCCAAAAGUCGGAAGUUGGAGCCGAUUAAGAGUGCACAAAGCAAUAUCCCAGGCACUGUUAAGUAUAUGUCAUGGGUCUAGAUGUUUAAUUUCUUUGGUAUUUUCCACAUGACAACCAAAUGUGAAAAAAUCAUUUUUCUGAGCAUUUUUCUUUCUUUCUUUAAUGCUUUUUGAGAACCAAACAUAAGCUAAGGGAUUCAUGGUGAUAGAUUAUAUUAAAAUAAUUUUCAGAUGAUUGAAAGAUCAUGAAAAUUAUGGUAUUAGUCUUGACUAAUAUCUUCAAUAGAAACAUAGUUUCCAAAUACAUGUAGUUUUAAUGAGAUAUGUGUGUUAAUGCUUGUUGUGUACUCAAGUAAUUUAGCAUAUCGAUUUCCUCUUCUUGCCUUGAUAGUCCAUCUAACCCAUGGCUCUAAAGGCAUUUUGGGUAAACUUGAGAGAACUACCUCAAUUCUUAUCCUAUCAUUGAUAUUAUUUAUGAUUUAUACAAGACUUGAAAAACUUGAAACUUUUAUCAAACAUGUGAUGAUUAACCUAAAAUAUAACAAUGAGAGGAACCAUUAAAAUAUUAUUUUAACAAUUUUAUUAAAAAUGCGGUGGAAAACCAAAAUUUGAAGAACCUGAUUAUUUUAGAUAGACUUGGAAAAUGACUAUUUAUGGAAGAAAUAUACAAUUUUAGUUGACAUACAUUUAAUUUGUACAUGGAAUUAGUUUUCCCUAAAUAUAAAAUGAAAACAUAAUUGUAUGUUAACUUGAGUAAAUUCUUCACAAUUUUAUUAAAUUUUUUAAAACAAUUGAAACAUUGAAAAAAAGAAAAUAAUGAAUUAACUAAAAUCUAAUUGUUCAAACAAAUUCAUAUUCAAAAUGGACCUCCAAGUUGUUAAUGAAUCAGCAACUUAAAAACAUAACACCUAAAUAAAAAUAUGAAUAGUAAUUACAAAUUAUGUACAGACCCAAACUAGACUUGAAUAUAGAAUUGUAUGCCAUGAAGAUAAAUUUGGGGUAAGAAAACUAGAUUAUGGAAUAUGAUUUUUUUCAUUACUCAAAUUUCAGACAAGCAACAAAUCAAAUCCUUGAAAAUAUGAUUGCAAUCGUAUUUUUAAUCUUUCCACAAUUUCAAAAAUUGAUGGAAAAAGAAAGGAAAAUAAGAUACAAUCUGGAAAUUUUUUCUUUUGUAAAAUUCCACAUUUUAUUAUAUCAACAAUUGGAUUUUAUGUAUGUAUUGGGACAUAUUAAAAAAUAUCGAUUUUCAUAGGUAUAUUGUUGCUAGGAACCCUGGAUCUCCUCAUUCCCAUAGCCUAGAUCGUAUAUGUAGAUUAAAAACUACCCUAGGCCUCUAGAUCUUAUGCAACGGAAGCAAAAUUAACAUAUUUUUACAAUUCUAAGCUUAAGAGGAAAACCAUUAGAAGACUUUACCGUUUAUUUGGAUGUUCCCAAAUCAAUUCUACUCGAAGAAUAUGAAGAACAAUGGAUUUGGAAGUCUAGUCUUCCACCUGAUGACUCAAAUCAUGAUCUUGACACUCCAAAGUGUGGAAAAUGAUGAUCUCUUGGCUCUCACUAUCUCUCUCUUUUUUUGGAGGUGGAAGGCAAAGUCUCUCUAAAGGUUGUGGAAACCUUAGUCUCUAUCAGUAUUUAUAGGAUUCCCUUACUAGGCUUAAGUGACUUGAGCCCACCAAGGCUUGGGUCACUUAAUCUAGCCCAAAAUGGAUCCUAAUUGAUUAAUUAACCACAUAGGGUUGUCUAAUUAAUCAAUUAGCCCAAUUCAGAGAACUUAUUUACUAUCCUUUGUGCAACCUUGCAUAGUUACCAAAACACCCUUAUGAACAAGAAUGAACCAAGAGUCAAUUCAUUCCUCAUAAAUCGUGUUAUCAUGAUAUAUGAGCUCAAAGCAGGGGCUAUUAGAACCCAUUGGAGUACUGGCUCCCUCAUAAUUCAAUUCUAAAGUUGAUUCAACAUUCCACUAAAGAGAAUCAAUUGCACUUUAGUAUCCUAUGUAAAUAACAACAAGUUGAAACUUGGGGUUCGUGACUUACUAUCCACUACAUGCAGACUCCGGUCCUAUGAACUAGUGUUUGUAAUCUAACAAGGUGGUGUUAUCACCUAUUAAGAUUACCUCUCCAAUCCUUGAGCUAUGAAUCCCACUUAUUAUGUGAUCAAUUGACAUACUCUAACUCUAAGGAGCAUAUGUCAAAUUACCUAUAAAGGAAAUGCUAUGACCAUAGUCUUCUAGAUCACAUAUCCUUUGGAUCACUCAAGGGGACACAUUGUCCCAUUUCAUGAGAUAUCAUGGUGCCUCUAUUGAGAAUACCUAUAUCACCAACCUCCAUCAACAGUGACCCAAUCCAUAGGAAUAUAUGACAACUUUAGGGUUUCACCCAUAGGUCAAAGCCUCAUGUUAACUUUGGCACAAGCUCAAUAUCCUUUCAAGGUUGAGAGUCCAUGCAGUAUAGUAGCUUGGUAAAUCAUAAUGAUUGAUAGCCUUGUGUCAUGAUUCAUCGUAGGUCUUGUCCAAUGCGCAUCAUAUGCUACACUCACCAUGACAAAACCAUUCCGACAACUAAAACAAGUCACCCCUCUAAUUAGGAGGCAGUGCACUACAAUCUCAGAUGGAUAGCCCAAAUCCAUGAACCUACUAUGGACAACUUAUCACUCUACAAGGAACCCAUGACUUGGAUCUUUUGUGCAACUCUUUACACACCCAAGUCAUGUACAAUGUAAGUGAUGUGGAGUGUGUAUGCUCAAAUAACCAAUUGAUACAAAUGAUAUAUUUAAGGGAAACCAAAAAACAUAAAUAAAUAAAUUUAUAAAUGAAUCUCAAUCUGUUACAUCAUGUCAUGCUUUCGAAGGCUCAAUCCCAACAAUCGCUAGUUGAAGUCAUUUGUUGCUUUAACCUACAAGUGAAACCCUAAGAUGGUUAUAUAUUCCUUAUGGAUUGAGUUGCUAUUGAUUAAGACAAGUGACAAAGGGUAUUUUUAAGAUAUGCACCAUGAUAUCUCAAACAUUUGAAAUAGUGUGUCCUCUUGGAUGAUUUUAAGGAUUUGUGAUCAUGAAAUCUAUAAUUGUAAUAAUUCCUUAAGUGGAAUUUGAUAUAUGCUCUUAUAAGUAAUAAUAUCUCAGUUGAUUACAUAAUAAACGAUUUAAGACUCAAGGAUAGUAGAGUGAUCUUAAGAGGAUGAUGACUAUACCUUAUUAGAUUACAUAUACUAGUUUAUGAAGAGUUUACAUACAAUGCUUAAUAAGUCACAAACUCGAAAAAUUGAUUAAAUUGAAUUUAAUCAAAUUUUUCUCUAUUUAAUAUCAUUAGGCUACUACUAGAGUAUUCUAGUUAACCCUUUAAAGUGGAAUGUUGAGUCAAAUUCAAAAUUGGAUUCUAAGAGAGCUAGUAUUUUCCUAGGGUCCUAGUGGUCCCUAUUUUGAGCUCAUACUCCUUGGUGACAUGUUACUUUCAGUGAUUUAUGGGUUUUUAUUCAUAUAUGUUUGGUAAAUAUGCAAGGUUGCACAAGAGUUUAUGAAUGGUUUUUUUGGAUUGGGCUACUUAAAAUUAAUUGGAGCCCAAUAUGGCUAACUAAUUAAUUAAGACCAAGUGGGCUAGAUCAAGUGAUCCAAGCCUAAGAUGGGCUUAACUCACUUAAGCUCACAAAAAAGUCUAUAUAAACCCUUUAGGGGUUUAGGGUUGGACACUCUUAACCAUUGUCUUCUAAAGAGAAAGCCCCAACUUUCAUCAUUGUUGAGAGAUAACUCCAUCAUUCAACUUGAAUAAUUCAAUGGGUUUGUAUGCUUUUAUCUCAUCUUUUACCAUUAGCAUAAUGAUAGGAGAAGGUACCUAGGAAGUAACUUUUGGAAGAACAUUUCAUGUUAUUCUUUUUAGGAUUCAUCAAAGAUGGGACCGAUAUGCAUUUCAAACCUAGAUAGAGUUUACCACAAUAAAGUGAUCACAUUAUUAUCUUUAGUAAAUUGUGAUAUACUUAAUAGGUUUUUGGUAAUGUGAGGAACAAAUAAAAUGUUGUUGAGAUGAAGAGGUUUAGAUUGUGCAUUUGAGUCAAUAAUAGUUGCUCCUAUAUGAGAAAUAGAUAAGUUUUUACCAUUACUUAUUAUUAAUUUGCCUUUGCUUUUUUAGUCAUUCUUGAGAGACAAGUUGUUGAGAUUUGAAGUAACUUGAUUGGUUGGACUACUACCCAUGUACCAAGAAGGAUUAUUCACAAUUUCUGGAGUAAUGAAGUAUGCUUGAGAAUUUUAAUAUUGAUUGUUGGCCUAAUGAGUUGUGGAAUUGUUGUUCUAACUAAUGUUUGUUACAAUGAGGCUAAGAUCAAAUCUAUGAUAACAUUUGAUUGCUUUGUGACCUGGUUAUCUUGGUGAUAACACUAUUGAUCUUGACAUUCAUGCUUUCAUUCAUUUUAGUUGUAAUGUAUUUGGAAAUUACCAUUGUUUUAUUGUUGUUGCAAGUGUAGUCUUCUUUUGCUGCAUAAUUUACAAAUAUUGUCAUAUCGAUGGAAAAAACAAUAUUCAACUAUUUUAAACACAAUUCUUGGCUCUAAAGGAGGAAUUGCAUUUCUUGUAAGGAGGUGUUGUCACUUCUUGAGGUGAUGUUCACUAUUACAAAAUUGUAUUCUAAUCUAAGACUUCCAAGAAUAUAAAGAGUCAAAUCAUCAUUUGAAAUAAUUUUUCCAAAAGCUAAGAGAGUAUCAACUAUGUUUCACAUCUUAACAAUAUAGUCAUUGAUCCUGAGGAACCCUUUUCUUGUAAGGUUGCAACAUAUAAUGGAGUUGCAUGGUUCUUACUUUGAAUUCCGAGAUGAAAAGUCUUUCCAAGGUAGACUAAAUAUUAGUAGAGUUGAUGCAGCAAGUAACAUGUCCAAACAUUGAUUUAGAGAUGGAUGUCAUGAGAAAUUGAUAAAGACACAAUAGGGUUUUCACAUCCAAAGUUUGGAAUUACCUAAAUUGAAUCUCCAAUCUUAACUUUGGUGGAUUGUAGUGGACAAAAUUUGGUUCUAGUGAGAAAGCCAUCAAGUUUGUAGGCUCUUACUAUUGGAAGAAUUUGAGAUCUCUAAAAGCUAUAGUUGUUUCAUUUGAUAGAUAAUUUUAAAAUUGAAAAUUUUGAUCCAAAAAAUUAAAUUAUUGAAAAAAAAACCAUAAUUUAAGGAAAUAUAUUAUACAUUAAAAUGUAAUCAAAUGUUUAAUAGAUAUCAAAGAAUUUAAUAUAUAUAUAUAUAUAUAUAUAUAUAUAUAUAUAUAUAUAUAUAUAUAUAUAUAUACUUAAUUUAAUUUAAUAUAAUUUAUUUAAAGCUAUAAUAUAGUAUUUACUUGUGUCAAACAAUAGUCGGUAUUUUUGUUGUUAAUACUCCUAAUAAAAAAAUUAAAAAAAAUUAAUUAGCUAAUUAUAUUCUAUACCCAACAUUUGUGUUAAGUGUAUAACUAAUUUUACAUAUUAUUUGGCAAUAUAUUAUAGAAUAAGAAACAUUAUUGUACACAAUUCAAAUCAUCAUAUAGGUUACAAAUUGCAUUCAAUCAAACCAAAAUGUGCUACCUAAAUGCUUGGCAGCCAUGAAUGUAUUAUUCAUAUGAUAAGUUUUCCUCCAUAUUAGUGCAAUGCAUGACACGUUUUCCUCAAUAUUGGUGCCUCUUUCAAAUAUUAUCAAGAUGUUUAAUUCCAAGGAACUAUUAAGAAAAAAAUAAAAUAAAGAAAAUAAUUUUUUUUUUAUUUUACUAUAAAAAAUACAUAAAAAUCAAAUACAAUUAAAAUCAAUUAAAAUUUAUCUAUUUUUAAAUUAUUUAAUCUUUAUAUAGAAGAGUUAAAACAAAUGGAUAUUUUUAAAUUAUUUAAUUUUUAUAUAGAGGAGUUAAAACAAGUGAAUGUGUUUGAAAUAACAUAUAAAUAAUCUAUUGACUUUAAAUUUAUUUUUUAUUUUUCUUUGCUUUUUUUAUUUUUCUAUUUUUUGUCUCCAUUUUCUUUCAUUCGUAUUUUCUUGGAAUCAAGCAAAACCUUUGACUAAUGUUUGAUUUCCAAAAAAUAUGAGGGAAAGAAAAUAAAGAGGAAACUUAAAAUAAAAAAAAAAUGAAUGAAAAAUAAAAAAUAAAUUUAAAGUUAAUAAAUUGAUUUUAUAUGUUUAUUCAAAUUUAUUUACUUAUUUUAAUUCUUCUAUAUAAAGAUUUAAAAAUUUAAAAAUACAUAAACUUUUAAUUAAUUUUAAUUAUGCUUUAUUUUCAUUUUUAUUUUCUCUAGUAAAAUCAAUCACGAGAAAAUUAUUUAUUUAUUUAUUUUUAAUGUUAGGUAAGUGCAAGGAGCUUCAACAACUGAAUUUAUUCAAUAAUAAACUAGUCGGAAGCAUUCCAGAAGCCAUUUGUAAUUUAUCAAAACUUGAAGAGCUAUAUCUUGGCAAUAAUCAAUUGACUGGUGAAAUUCCAAACAAGAUGAGUCAUCUUCAUAAUCUGAAGGUAUUGUCAUUCCCAAUGAACAACUUAACAGGUUCCAUACCAGCCACCAUUUUCAACAUAUCUUCUUUGCUCAACAUUAGUCUCUCCUAUAAUAGCCUCUCUGAGAGUCUUCCCAUGGAUAUGUGCUAUGACAAUAGCUUAAAUGUACUUGUUGUUAUCAAAUAACCGAUGUUCACCACCCACGUUCUGCUGCCCUGAAGUGGUCCAACACUUGGCCACGUCCUUCAUCAUGUAGCUGCUGUUAAGGAGCACGUUUCUAUCAACUGCUCAUCGUGUGGCAAAUCAAAGAAACGUGGCUUUGAUGGGAAGCCACGUUUUCUUUGUAUUUUAAAUAUCGGUCUUGGUCCCAAGCUCCUCUCUCAUGCUGCUGAAAAUCUUCAGAAAUUACACCAUCCAUAAGGAGAGAUAGAGUUUUGGAAACCAAAGACUUGCAACCCAACAAUGGCUGGAGGUAAGUAUGGCAUAAGUUACAUAUGAAUGAAUUGUUUAUAUGCAUUAUGAAUUGCCUACAUUUGGUAUCAGAGCCACUGAAAAUCUUUUCUCUGCCUUGAUAUCUAUUUUGUUGGAGACUUACUUAGUUAAUGGUUUCUCUUCUGGUUGUAAGAUACAAUCAUACAGAAAUAUCCAUAAGUUGAUCUCUCAAAUCACUGCUUUAAAAAUGAAAUACCCAUGCUUGAUCGAAACAUCUGAGAGGCGCAGCCACUCGGGUUCCAACUCAAGGCAUCACCACUUAGGCCCUCAGAAAUGCUUAGGCUCCAACCAGUAGUCUAACUGGUCCCCUAAUAAAUAAAUAAAAACUGCACCAGCCCCUCCACCUCAUGCCAUAGGCCCACUCUUUGAUGGUGGUGCCGCCCACUGCAAACAGCGCCAGCCUCGCCACCACAGGCCUCAGGCCUUCAUGGUAUCGAUAUUGGCAUGGAGGAGCUCGCGUAAAGGCAGGAAUGGAGGAAUCAGGGCUGCACUUCGGUGGAUGCAGCUCGUCCCAUUUGUGGUGGCUGUUGAAGUGCCGCUACAGGCACCCAUUAUGAGCACCAUUCAGGCGUUGUUGAAGUGCAGUUGCAGGCGCCCAUUCCGAGCGCCAUUCAGGCGCUAUUCAAGCAUCGUUGCUGGUGUUGGUUUCAGAGGCUACAAGCGCUAUUCAAACACCAUUGCUAGUGCUAGUUUCAACCUCUGAAGGCGCCAUUUUCAGGUAUUCAAGAAGCGCCAUUUCUGGUGUUGUUUUGGGGUUGCAGUGGUGAGCCGCUGCAGGCAUGAUGCUGACGUUGCUAGAAAAUCGGUCUGGUGUUGUUAUGGUGUCGCGGAUGAUGUGGCUACAGGCGACUAGGAGUCAUUAAGAUGCCAACGUGUUGAAUAUUGGAACCCAUAAGUUAAUUCAUAUAUUUAUAUACAAAAGACUAGAGAAAGAUGGGUUUUACUUUUGGGCCUUGACAUAAGGAAGCUAUUGGGCCCAUUAGGCAAAUUACAUGUGCAGUGAUCCAAUAAAAUUAUUAAAGUCUUUAAGUGUUGGGCCAUGGGUUAACUAUGAUAUUUAGGCUGAUUUAGGUUCUAAUGGCUCGGUUUGAAUUAUUUUAUUGAUUAUUUUUAUAUAUGUGAUCCUUUAUACAUGCAUAUUAAAUCAUUAAUUUUAUUGUUUGUAUGUAUAAAAUGUAGCUUAAUCUUGUGUUAGAUAAAUUAAAUGUUGUAGCUAUUGAUGCAUGCAAAUUUUAUCUAAAUUGUAUAAGAUAUAUUAAAAUAUAUAUAUCAUAUAGUUUUAAUGUCUAGUGAAACCAUAUGAUUUUUUAAAUAAUUAAGGAAUAGCCACAACAUCCUUAAUUAUAUAAAAAUUAUAUAUUAAGUAAAUAAGGAUCACAUUAUGGACAUUAAUUGUAAUUAAUUAUAUAAAUAUGAUGAUUUUGCCCCACAGGGUUUUCAUUAUGUUUAUAUAAUUAAUUAGGAUAAAAUAUUAAAAUUAAUUUUUCCUAAUUUACCCACAAGAGUUAGGAAGAAUUAAUUUAAUAGGUUUAUCAUAAAGAUUAUAGACAGAAAAUAUCAAACUAUAUUCAUAAUAAAUUUCAUAAUUCAAUAAAAUAGUUUGAUAAAGUCUAUCAUAAAGAUAAUUAAUUUGAUUGAAUUAAAGAUUUAGCCCACAGGCAAUUUUUAAUGAAAUUAGAUUAAAUUUUAAGCAUGUUCUACAUUGGUAAAGCAUGAAUUUAUAUUAAAGCCUCAAAAUUUUUUAAUAAGCUUGUAAUCCUUUUGUACAAUUUUACCUAGCAUAUCUGAUAUUCGUUGUGAGGUUCCCGAACUUAGAGGAGAUAACUUUAAGAUAUGGAAAGAGAGAAUUCUUCUUCAAUUAGGGUGCAUGGACAUAGACUAUGCCAUAAGGAAAGAUGAACCACAUAAGAUCACUAAUACCAGCACACCUGAACAAAUUUUAUUGUACGAACGCUGGGAGAAAUCUAAUCGCCUUAGCGUGAUGUACAUUAAGACAAAAAUCAGUGCUGGUAUACGUGGUUCAAUCGAGCAACAUGAAAAUGUUUGUGAAUUGCUAAAGGCUAUUGACAAGCAAUUCGUCACUUUAGAUAAAGCCUUGGCAAGCACCCUAAUUAUGAAGUUCACAUCCUUGAAGCUCACCGCUAUAAAAGGUGUGCGUGAACAUAUCAUGGAGAUGAGGGACAUUGUGGCUCAAUUGAAGAAACUCGAGGUAAAAAUGUCUGAAUCCUUCUUGGUGCACUUUAUCCUUAACACUCUUCCACCUCAGUAUGGACCUUUCAAAAUCUCUUACAACACACAUAAGGAUAAGUGGUCUAUCAAUGAAUUGAUGACCAUGUGUGUUCAAGAGGAAGGAAGGUUAAUGAUGGAACAAGGAGAAAGUGUCAUGUUGGUGACGCAAAGGAAAGGAAAGAAAGGAAAAUCUCAAGCCAGUCAGAAAGGGAAGCAACAAAUUUCUCCUAAAUCUGACAUUAAGAAAGACGAAAAGUGUUUUUUCUGUAAAAAGAAAGGACACGUGAAGAAGAAAUGUCUGAAAUUUCAGAAUUGGCUUGAGAAGAAAGGUAACCCUACCUCAUUUAUUUGUUAUGAAUCUAAUAUGGUUAAUGUAAACACCAACACAUGGUGGAUUGAUUCUGGAUCUACAAUCCACAUUUCAAAUUCCUUGCAGGGUAUGCAAAACCUAAGGAAGCCAGUGACAAGUGAGCAAUUCAUCUUAUCCGGAAACAAGAUGGGCUCGCAUGUGGAAGCAAUAGGGACAUGUUAUUUAACUUUAAAUAGUGGUUUUGUUUUAGAAUUGCAAAAGACCUUUUAUGUACCAAGUUUCUCACGAAACUUGAUUUCAGUUUCUAGACUUGUACCGUUUGGAUAUUCCUUUCAUUUUUCAGAAACAUCUUUCAGUUUGAUUUAUAAAUCUGAUUGUGUUGGGAAUGGUAUCUUGUCUGAUGGUCUUUAUUGUAUAUUCUUACAAAAUGAUAUCGUUCAUAAUUCAUUACAUGUCCAAACUGGCAUUAAGAAAUGUGUUGUAAAAGAGGAUUUCUCUACAUUGUGACACCGGAGAUUAGGUCAUAUCUCCAUAGAUAGAAUCAAAAGAUUGGUGAAUGAUGGGGUACUUAGUACUCUAGAUUUUACUGACUUUGAGACUUGUGUGGACUGCAUUAAGGGAAAGCAGACCAACAAGUCAAAGAGAGGUGCUACUAGGAGUUCUACCAUACUAGAGAUCAUACAUACUAAUAUAUGUAGUCUUGACAUGGACUCUCAUGAUCAGAAAUACUUCAUCUCUUUCAUAGAUGAUUUCUCACGAUACAUGUAUCUCUACAUACUUCAUAAUAAAAAUGAAGCUUUAGAUGCCUUUAAAGUCUUCAAGGCAGAAGUAGAGAAACAAUAUGGUAAACAAAUUAAGAUCGUGAGAUCAGAUAGAGGUGGAGAAUAUUAUGGUAGAUACUUGGAAGAUGGACAAUCACCUGGGCCAUUUGUGAAGUUUCUUCAAGAGCAUGGGAUUGUUGCCCAAUACACCAUGCCUGGUUCUCCAGACCAAAAUGGUGUAACAGAAAGAAGAAACCGAACUUUAUUGGACAUGGUGAGGAGUAUGCUUAGCAGCUCAAAACUUCAUAAAUUCUUAUGGACUGAAGCACUUAAGACAGCUGUGUAUAUAUUAAACCGAGUUCCAACCAAGGCUGUCCUAAAAACGCCAUUUGAGUUAUUGAAAGGUUGGAAACCGAGUUUGCGGCAUAUGCGCGUUUGGGGAUGCUCGUCUGAAGUGAGAAUUUAUAAUCCACAAGAGAAGAAACUGGACCCAAGGACUAUUAGUGGGUAUUUCAUUGGAUAUGUUGAAAAGUCCAAGGGGUAUAGGUUUUACUGUCCAUCUCACAGCACUAGGAUUGUGGAAUCAAGAAAUGCUAAAUUUCUUGAAUAUGACUUGGUCAGUGGGAGCGAUCAAUUUAGAAACAUAGUUUCUGAUAUUGAUCAUACAGAGUCUCAACCUUCCACUUCAAGCGAUAGAUUGUUUAUUGUUCAUAACACCCCUCAAGUACAAACGGGUGUUGAACGAAUAAUCGAUGAAGUUCAACCAGUCAUUGAAGUUCCACAAGUUGUUGACAACAUUCCAGUAGACCAAGUUGAUCAGGAGUUGCCUAACACUUCUGAACAACAAGUUGAACCUCAUACUUCCUCGGAAGAUAUUGGUGCAACCUUAAGAAGGUCUGCUCGAACUAAAAGGUCAGCAAUUCCUAGUGAUUAUGUAGUGUAUCUACAAAAAUCUGACUAUAAUAUAGGAGCCGAAAAUGAUCCCGAAUCAUUUUCACAAACCAUGAGUUGUAAAGAAUCAGAAUUGUGGUACAAUGCCAUGAAGCAUGAGAUGAGUUCCAUGAAGUGCAACGAUGUUUGGAACCUUGUUAAGUUGCCUAAUGGUGCAAAAACCAUUGGUUGUAAAUGGGUUUUUAAGACAAAGAAAGACUCAUUAGGCAACAUUGAGAGAUACAAGGCUAGACUUGUUGCAAAGGGGUUCACUCAGAAAGAAGGAAUCAAUUGCACAGAAACCUUUUCUCCUGUAUCUAAGAAAGAUUCCUUACGCAUUAUAUUGGCAUUAGUAGCCCACUUUGAUUUGGAAUUGCAACAAAUGGAUGUGAAAACAGCAUUUCUUAAUGGAGAGCUAGAGGAGGAGGUUUACAUGAAACAACCUGAAGGAUUCCCCUCUAGUGAUGGUGAGCAAUUGGUUUGUAAGCUUAAGAAAUCCAUAUACGGUUUAAAACAAGCAUCCCACCAAUGGUAUUUAAAAUUCCAUAACAUAAUUUCUUCAUUUGGUUUUGAAGAAAAUGUUAUGGAUCAAUGCAUAUACCUUAAGGUCAGUGAGAGUAAAGUUUGUUUUCUUGUUUUAUACCUGGAUGACAUCUUACUUGCAACCAAUGGUAAGGGUUUACUUCAUGAGGUGAAACAAUUCCUCUCUAAAAAGUUUGACAUGAAGGAUAUGGGUGAGGCAUAUUAUGUCAUUGGCAUUAAGAUCCAUAGAGACAGAUUUAAAGGUAUUUUAGGUUUGUCUCAAGAAACCUAUAUCAAUAAAGUUUUAGAGAGAUUUCGGAUGAAGAAUUGUUCACCUAGUAUUUCCCCUAUAGUGAAGGGUGAUAGGUUCAAUUUGAACCAAUGCCCGAAAAACGAUCUUGAGAGGGAACAAAUGAAGAACAUUCCAUAUGCUUCUGCAGUCGGAAGUUUGAUGUAUGCUCAGGUCUGCACAAGGCCUGACAUUGCAUUUGCUGUUGGAAUGUUAGGAUGAUAUCAAAGUAACCCAGGUAUAGAACACUGGAAAGCUGCAAAGAAUCUGAUGAGAUAUCUUCAAGGAACCAAAGAUUACAAGCUUAUGUAUAGACGAACAAGCAAUUUAGAGGUAGUUGGCUACUCAGAUUCAAACUUUGCUGGCUGUGUUAAUUCACGUAAAUCAACAUCUGGAUACAUUUUUAUAUUGCCGGUGGAGCUAUAUCUUGGAGGAGCGUUAAGCAGACCAUGACUGCUACUUCUACUAUGGAAGCUGAGUUCAUAUCUUGUUUUGAGGCUACUUCACAUGGUGUAUGGCUUAAGAGUUUCAUUUCCGGACUUAGAGUUAUGGAUUCAAUAUCUAGGCCAUUGAGUAUAUAUUGCGACAAUUCAGCUGCAGUCUUUAUGGCAAAGAACAAUAAAAGUGGAAGUCGAAGCAAGCACAUCGACAUUAAGUAUCUAGCCAUAAGAGAACGUGUUAAAGAAAAGAAAGUGGUUAUUGAGCACAUUAGCACUGAAUUGAUGAUUGUUGAUCCUUUGACUAAGGGCAUGCCACCGUUGAAAUUUAAGGAUCAUGUAAUGAACAUGGGACUUAGUUCCCUUAUGUAGUUUUUAUUGUACAAACUCUUAUUAUGAUGUUUUCUCAUAUUGAUGUGCACCUUUAUUUAAUUUUGAGAAAAUUGAACUUCAUUGGACCAAGAAUGAACAUAGGGUUUAUUCAUUAAGCAAUAUUGCCACAUAAAGUAAAAUGUUAAGAAAUGAAUACAUUGUAAUACAUGGAAGAUAACACUCGUUAUAUAGAGAACUUAUCGCCAUGAUUCAUAUAUUUGUUACUUAAUACGGAAAAAUGAUGAUCUAAGAUAGGACAUGAGGUUAAAAGUGUGGACCAAGUGGGAGAAUGUUAUCAAAUAAUCGACGUUCACCACCCACGUUUCGCUGCCCUGAAAUGGUCCAACACUUGGCCACGUCCUUCAUCAUGUAGCUGCUGUUAAGGAGCACGUUUCUAUCAACUGCUCAUCGUGUGGCAAAUCAGAGAAACGUGGCUUUGAUGGGAAGCCACGUUUUCUUUGUAUUUUAAAUAUCGGUCUUGGUCCCAAGCUCCUCUCUCAUGCUGCUGAAAAUCUUCAGAAAUUACACCAUCCAUAAGGAGAGAUAGAGUUUUGGAAACCAAAGACUUGCAACCCAACAAUGGCUGGAGGUAAGUAUGGCAUAAGUUACAUAUGAAUGAAUUGUUUAUAUGCAUUAUGAAUUGCCUACAUUUGUCUCAAAUCAUUUGAGUGGAAAGAUUCCCACGAGUUUAGGCCAAUGUAUAAAGCUUCAAGUAAUUCUCUUAUCACUUAAUGAUUUCAUGGGAAGCAUACCGAGUGGAAUAACAGCUUGAAAGGUACACUUUUUCUUUCUUUUUUAUUCUCAGUUUCCCUCAAGCUUUCAAAGAUAUAAGAAAAGCGUUAAUUGUUUGUCUAAUAUACUCAUUUUAAUUGUGUUGCAGGAGAAAUACCUCAAUUAUUGUUCAACAUCUCUUCCUUAAGGUUUUUGUCUCUAGUAGCAAAUAACCUAGAAGGUGAAAUCCCCUCCAAUUUGUCACAUUGCAGAGAGCUUCGAGUGCUAUCAUUAUCAUUUAAUCAACUCACUAGAGGCAUUCCACAAGCCAUAGGGAGUUUAUGUAAUCUUGAAGAAUUAUAUCUUGCUUUUAACAAAUUGACAGGUGGAAUUCCUAGAGAGAUUGGGAAUCUUUCAAAUUUAAAUAUUUUGUAGUUAGCAUCCAGUAGAAUCAGUGGCCUAUUCUUCCUGAAAUUUUCAAUAUCUCUUCAAUGCAAUGGAUUGAUUUAGCGAAUAACAACCUUUCUGGGAGUUUUCCAAUGGAUACUUGUAAACAUCUUCAUAUUCUCCAAGGGCUCUAUCUUUCUCGGAAUCAUCUUAGUGGUCAACUUCCUACAACUCUAUCCUUAUGUGGAGAGUUCCUGUCAUUGGCACUAUACAUCAAUAAAUUGGCAACUUAUCAAAGCUUGAAGAGAUGUAUCUAGAUGACAAUAGCCUCGUAGGCUCCAUUCCAACUUCAUUUGGUAAUUUGAAGGCCUUAAAAUUGCCUCUGUUGGGUGCGAACAAUCUUACGGGAAUGGUACCAUAACCUAUUUUUAACAUCUCUAAACAAUAGACCCUUUCGUUGGUGCAAAAUCACCUUUCAGGCAGUCUCCCAGCAAAUAUUGGCACUUGGUUCCAGGAUCUUGAAGGACUUUUUAUAGGAGAAAAUGAAUUCAGUGGAAUAAUUCCAUUAUCUAUUUCAAAUAUGUCAAAACUUACCAACUUACAGAUAUGGGAUAACUCCUUCACUGGUAAUGUGGCAACAGAUCUCGGUAACCUGACAAAGCUUGAAUUUCUCAACCUUGCAUACAAUCAAUUAACUGAUGAACACUUAGCCUCUGGGGUUGGUUUUCUUACUUAUUUGACAAAUUGCAAAUUUUUAAGAACAAUUUGGAUAUAUUAUAAUCCUUUGAAAAGUAAUCUUCCAAAUUCACUAGGGAAUCUUCCCGUUGCUCUUAAAAGUUUUACUGCAUCAACCUGCCAAUUUAGAGGAACCAUUCCCACACGAAUUGACAAUUUGACCAAUUUGAUAUGGCUGGAACUGGGAGAUAAUGACUUGACAGGGUCGAUUCCAACUACAUUGGGACUGCUACAAAUGCUCCAACGAUUGGACAUUACUGGAAAUAGAAUACAAGGAUCCAUUCCAAAUGAUCUUUGCCAUUUGAAGAAAAAUUUAGGAUACUUGCUUUUGAGUUCUAACAAAAUGUUUGGAUCAAUCCCAAGUUGUUUUGGAGAUCUUCAUGCACUACAAGAACUCUAUCUUGAAUCCAAUGCGUUAGCUCUCAACAUUCCUUCAUCCUUGUGGAGCCUAAGAGGUCUAUUGGUUCUUAACUUGUCUUCAAAUUUCCUAGCAGGUAAUCUACCUCCCGAAGUUGGAAACAUGAAGUCCAUUUUCAAAGAACCUAGUUUCAGGUUACAUUCCAAGAAGGAUGGGAAAACUACAAAAUUUGGCUAAACUCUCCUUGUCCCAAAAUAGACUACAAAGCCCAAUACCUGUAGAAUUUGGUGAUUUGGUAAGCUUGGAAUCCUUGGAUCUGUCCCAGAACAAUUUAUCUAGAAUCAUUACCAAGUCAUUAGAGGCACUUAUUUAUCUCAAGUAUCUAAAUGUUUCUUUCAAUAAACUAUAAUGAGAAAUUCCGAAUAUAAAGGUCUUUCGUAAAUUUCAUUGCAGAAUCAUUCAUCUACAAUGGAGCCUUAUGUAGAGCACCUCAUUUUAAAGUCAUAACAUGUGAUAAAAACACUCGCAAUCAAUCAUAGAAGACAAAGUCAUUCAUUAAGAAAUAUAUUCUACUAACAAUCGCAUCAACAGUAACUUUAGUGGCUUUCAUUGUUUUGUGGAUACGUAGACGAGAUAACAUGGAAAUACCUGCUCCAAUCGAUUCAUGGCUUCCUGGAACACAUGGAAAGAUUUCAUACCAGCAGCUUCUUUAUGCAACAAACGACUUUGGUGGAGACAAUUUGAUUGGAAAAGGAAGCCUGGGCAUGAUAUAUAAAGGGGUAUUAUCUAAUGGCUUGAAUGUUGCUAUAAAGGUUUUCAAUUUAGAAUUCCAAGGAGCCUUGAGGAGUUUCAAUUCAGAAUGUGAAGUGAUGCAAAGGAUUCGCCAUCAGAAUCUUGUUAAGAUAAUUAAUUGUUGCUCAAACCUCGAUUUCAAAGCGUUGGUUCUCAAAUAUAUGCCUAAUGGAAGUCUUGAUAAGGGGUUGUAUUCUCACAACCAUUUUUUGGAUCUCAUCCAAAGAUUAAACAUUAUGAUAGAUGUUGCAUCGGCAUUAGAGUAUCUUCAUCUUGAUUGUUCAAGCCUUGUGGUGCAUUGCGACUUGAAGCCCAAUAAUGUUUUGUUAGAUGACGACAUGGUUGCUCAUGUGGCCGAUUUUAGGAUCACAAGACUCUUGAUUGAAACAAAGCCUAUGCAACAAACGAAGACCUUGGGCACCAUAGGCUAUAUGGCACCAGGUAAAGUUCCUCACUACUUAUAUGCCCAUUUACUACAAAAGUUUUUAUAUCUCUACCUUUUUUUUUUUUUUUUUUUCAAAUUUAUGAUCAAAACUAACAUCACGCGUAAGUAGAGUAUGGCUUAGAUGGGAUAGUAUCCAUAAAGGUUGAUGUUUAUAGCUAUGGGAUCUUCUUGAUGGAAGUAUUUGCAAGGAAGAAGCCUAUGGAUGAAAUGUCACUGGGGAUCUAACCUUGAAGACAUGGGUGGAGUCAUUAUCCAAUUCAGUGAUAGAGGUUGUUGAUGCCAAUCUAUUGAGAAGAGAGGAUUAAGACCUUGCCAUAAAGCUGAGUUGUUUGUCCUCCAUUAUGGCUUUAGCUUUAGCAUGUAAAGCUGAUUCACCUGAGAAGAGGAUCCACAUGAAAGAUGAGGUAGUUAAGCUCAAGAAGAUCAUAAUCAAACUUUUGAUAUAAGGAUUAUUUCAAAAGAUGUGAUGGAACUUAAGAAGAUAAAAUUUUUACAGAAAAGUUCAUGUCAAUAUUUCAAAGGAAGUGGGAAGUUAAAGUUGGAAUUGGUUAAGAAGUACACAAANNNNNNNNNNNNNNNNNNNNNNNNNNNNNNNNNNNNNNNNNNNNNNNNNNNNNNNNNNNNNNNNNNNNNNNNNNNNNNNNNNNNNNNNNNNNNNNNNNNNUUUUAAUGUGAUAUGUGUGUUAAGGCUUGUUGGGUCCUCAAGUAAUUUAGCAUAUGGAUUUCCUCUUCUUGCCUUAAUAGUCAAUCUAACCCAUGACUCUAAGGGCAUUUUUGGAAAACUUGAGAGAACUACCUCAAUUCUUAUCCUAUCAUUGACAUGAUUUAUGAUUUAUGAUAUAUGCAAGGAUUGAGAAACUUGAAACUUCUAUCAAACAUGUGAUGAGUAAAUAUAAAAUAUAACAAUGUGAGGAAACACUAAAAUAUUAUUCUAACAAUUUUAUUAAAAAUGUGGUGGAAAAUCAAAUUUUGAAGAAAUUAUUUUAGAUAGACUUGGAAAAUAACUAUUCAUGGAAGAAGUAUACAAUUUUAUUUGACAUGCAUUUAAUUUGUACAUGGGAUUAGUUUUCCCUAAAUAUAAAAUGCAAACAUAAUUGUUUGUUAACAUGAGUAAAUUCUUCACAAUUUCAUUAAAUUUUUAGAAACAACUAAGACAUUGACAAAAAGAAAAAAAGAAUUAACUAAAAUCCAACCAUUGAAACAAAUUCAUAUUCAAAUCUGCAACUUGAAAACUUCCUACUUAAAUAAAAAUAAGAAUAGUAAUUACAAAUUAUACACAUACCCAAACUAGACUUGUAGAUAGAAUUGUACGUCAUAGAGAUGAAUUUGGAGGAAGAAAACUAGAUUAUGGAAAAUAAUUUUUAUCGUUACUUAAAUUUCAAAUGAGCAACAAAUCAAAUCUUUGAAAAUAUGACUGCAAUCAUUUUUUUAAUCCUUUCACAAUUUCAAAAAGUGAUGGAAAAAUAAGGGAAAAUAAGAUACAUUCUACAAAAUUUCAUAUUUUAUUAUAUCAUAGUUAGAUUUUAUGGAUAUAUUGGGAUAUAUUGAAAAAUAUCAAUUUUCACAAGUAUAUCAGUAGUUAAGGUCAUUAGUGGCUUUAAUCUACAAGUGAGAACCUAAGAUGGUUAUAUAUAUAUUCCCUAUGUGGGUUACUAUUGAUUAGGACAACCGACAACAGGUACUUUUAAAAUAUACACCAUGAUAUCUCAUAGGUUUGAGAUAGUGUGUCUCUUUAGGUGAUCCUAAAGAUUUGUGAUCACAAAAUCUAUGAGCGUAAUAAUUCUUUUAGUGGAAUUUGACACAUGUUAUGAGACAGAAUGUCUCAAUUGAUUACAUAAUAAGAUGAUUUAAGACUUAAGGAAAAUAAAGUUAUCUUAAGAGGAUGACGACUAUACAUCAUUAGAUUAUAGACACCUAUCCAUGUAGAGCUUACAUACAAUGCUAAGUCACAAACCUAAAAUAUUGAUUAUAUCCAAUUUAAUCAAUUUUUUCUCUAGCUAAUAUCAUAGACUACUAGAGCAUUCUAGUUAACCCUCUAAAGUGGAAUGUUGACUCAACUUCAAAAUUGGAUUCUAAGGGAGUUAGUAUUUUCCUAGGGUCCUAGUGGUCCCUAUUUGAGCUCACACUCCUGGGUGACAUGUUAUUUUUAGUGAUUUAUAGGUUUUAUUCAUAUAUGUUUAGUAAAUAUGAAAGAUUGCACAAGAGUUUAUGAAUUGUUUUUUUGCAUUAGACUAUUAAAAAUUAAUUGGAGCCCAAUAAGGCUAACUAAUUAAUUAAGACUGAGUGGUUUAAAUUAAGUAAUCCAAACCUAAGAUGGGCUAAAUUCACUUAAGCCCACAAUAAAGUCUAUAUAAACCCUUUAGGGGUUUAGGGUUGGACUCUCUUAGCCAUUGUCUUCUAAAAAAAGAGAGCCCCAACCUCAAUCCUUGCUGAGAGAUAACUUCAUAAUUAAGUUUGAAUAUUUCAAUGGGUUUGUAUGUUUUUAUUUCAUAUUUUACCAUUAGAAUAAUGUUAGGAGAAUGUAUCUAAGGAGUAACUUCUGGAAGAACAUUUUGGUGUGUGUGUGUGUGUGUGUGUGUUUUUCAGAAUUUGUCAAAGAUGGGACUAAUAUGCCUUCCAAACCUAGAUGGAGUUGACUACAAUAAUAAAGUUACUGUAAUAAUAAACCAAUGGCACACGAUAUGUUUUUGGUGAUGCGAUGAACAUGUAAAAUGUUGUUGAGAUGAAGAGGUUUAGAUUGUUCAUUUGAGUUAAUAAUAGUUGCUCUUAUAUGGGAAAUAGAUAACUGAGAAAAUAAAGGCUAUGCUUAAUUAAGAAAAACACCCAAGAGGGGGGUGAAUUGGGUUUUUCAAAAAUAUUUUCAAUAACAACAAUUUCAAGCACAAUAUAAAUGAAAGUAAAGAGAUAGAGUUAGAGAAUUCAAACUCGGGUUUUAUAGUGGUUCGGCACUUCCUUACCUACGUCCACUCUCCUCAAUCUCCUAACCGAGUGAGGGUUCCACUAACUUGAAGCUUCAACAAAGCUUCUAAUCUUCUUACACUUGGAUUCCGGCUCCAAUGGGCUCUUACACAAUCUCUUCAAGAAUUACACCUCUUGAAGACUUAAACGCUUGGCUUUUACAAGAAUAAAACACUCAACCUAGCUCAAGAAUGGAUCAAAUACAAAACAAGGCUAGGAUGACUCACAAAGGUGCACUAAGGAGUAUGCAAAUGAUGAUUUAAUGCACCAAGAAAGAAAUGAGAGCCUUUUGAUCAAGAACAGGUAGGUAGACAAUUGAUUGCAAGUGUUCUCUUAUUCAUAAAUGAAGUGGAGCUCUUAAUUUAUAGGUUUCUAAGCUUGGGAGUCGAAAACAGCAAAAGGUACCCUCGACCGGUCAAGCUAUGGGUCGACCGGAUCACUAGCCGUUGGGCAUUAAAUGCUUUGACAGGUUACCGUUGCCUCGAUCGGACCUCGACCGGACAUCGACCGGGAAGGGUGUGAACCUCAACCGGGAAGAGAAGGCUACUGGAUGAGAGAGAGUGUUUUUGACACUCCUCGACCGGUCCUCGACCAAACAGGGUCAACCGGUCGACCGGUUCCCUAACCGGUUGAGCCGGUUGGCCAUAGCCUCGACCGGUUGAGCUUUUUGGCCCCGAAAACCUUCCUUUUGAGAUUCCUUUCUUUUCUACUACUUAAGCAAGGUCUUUAGGUGAAUAAAUAUGCCAGUUUUAAAACAUUUUGCCUAAGGUACAUUUGAUAAAACUCGGGUUUGAAUGAAUUUGAAAGUUUAAAGAAUAAACCGAGUUUUUCAAAGAUGCAUGAAAUGGAAUGAAAACCUUAAGUGCACCCAUGCAUUCAUUUUACAUUCAUUUCCUAUGAUCAAGGGACUUCCAAUAAUCUCGGUCUUGUAUCCAUUUGGUCCUUGGAUGAAUUUCCGAAAUUAUACCUGAGAUUCUUUACCAUUUAAAAUAAUUAGUCACUUAACCAUGAUUUGUUAUCAUAAAAACCCGAUUAGGAGAACCCUUGGGCUAACAAUAACUUUUGACUGUUAACUAUUAUCAAUUUGCGUUUACCUUUGUAGCAAUUCUUAAGAGAUAAGUUAUUGAGAUCUAAAGUAACAUGAUUGGUUAGACCACUACCCAUGUACCAAGAAGGAUCACUCACAGUUUUUGGACUAACGAAGUAUGUUUGAUAAUUUUGAUUUGGGUUGUUGGCCUUACGAGUUGUAGAAUUGUUGUUUUGACUAAUGUUUGGACUAGUGACGCUAAGAUAAAAUCUAUGAUAACAUUUGAUUGCUAUGUGGCCUAGUUUGCUUGGUGAUAACAUUAUUAAUCUUGAAAUUCAGAUAUGUGGUCUUCCUUUUGUUGCAUAAUUUGCAGAUAUUGUCAUAUCGAUGGAAAUAACAGUAUUUAACUACUCUAAACACAGUUCUUGGCUUUAGAGGAGGAAUUUCACUUCUUGUAAAGAGGAAUUGCACUUCUUAUAAGGAGGUGUUGUCAGUCCUUGAGGUGAUUUUCACUACUAUAGAAUCAUAUUUUAAUCCAAGACCUUCAAGAGUAUAGAGAGUCAAAUUAUCAUCUAAAAUAAUUUUUCCAAAAGCUGAGAGAGUAUCAAAUAUGUUUUACAUCUUAAGAACAUAGUCAUUGAUGUUGAGGAAACCUUUUCUUGCAAGAUUGCAACAUAUAAUGGAGUUGCAUGGUUUUUGCUUUGGAUUUUGAGAUGAAAAGUCUUUCUAAGGUAGACCAAAUAUGAGUAGAGUUGAUGCAACAAAUAAUAUGUCUAACAUUGAUUUAGAGGUGGAUGACAGUAACCAACUCAUGAGAAAUUGAUAAAGAUAAUCCGAUUUUCAUAUUCAAGGUUUGGAAUUACCUGAAUUUAAUCUCCAAUCUUAACUUCGAUGGAUUGUAGUGGACAAAUUUUGGUUCUAAUGAGAAAGCCAUCAAGUUUGUGGGCUCUUACUAUUGGAAGAAUUUGAGAUCUUCAAAACCAUAGUUUUUCCUAUCAAGCUUGAUUGAAAUAGGAUUUAGGUUAGAGGAAAAAGGAAUUGCAGUUGAUACCAUUGCAAUAUCGUAUUAGUUGCAAUGGUUGAUUGAGGAUUUGUUAAAGGAGAAGUUUCACUGGAUGAGAUAGAAAUAGGGCAAGAUUGGGUUGAUCAAUUGCCAUUUAUUUUAGUCAAGAAAGCACCAAUACCAAGUUACGAUACAAAAAUAGAAUUUAAAAUUUAAAGUAAAUAACUAUGAAAGGCUCUCAUAUUGUAAAUCAUAACUUUGAACUUUAUUUCAUAUAUAAUACUAAUUUACUUAACAAUCUUUAAUAACAAACUUAAUAGUAUAUUAAACUCAGUUUCUAACUACAAACUAACUAUACUUUACACAUAUGCACAGUUGGAUUUGACUUAUUUCAAAAUCAUGGCAUGUCAAAAUUAAAGAGUUAGGGAAUUCAUAUUCAACUAUAUCUUUCUUCUUCCAAAUAUGUUUUACAUUUCAAAAGAAUCUAAUAUAAAUUGAUAACAAUCAAUUAUUGAAAAAAUAGAGUAUAGGGGGUGUUUUCUUUACUAAAUCAGAGAUAUGACAUGAUCGAUGUUUAUAAUUGAAUUCAAGCAAUUUUGAAAAGGUCUUACAAUUUUAAUUUUGUAUUUUUUUUAUAUGUGAGAAUAAAAAUCUCAAAUUGGCAAAAAAAAAAAAAAAAGAGAAAAAAAUAGUUCAAUGUUGUAUAAAAAAUAAAAAAAAUUGAAUGAAGAUUAGCUUUUGGGAUAAUAUUUAUAGUUGAUUUAUCAAGGAAUCAACUUCUCCAAAAAAUAAAAUCACAAUGGCAAUGCUAACUAUGGUUUUUAUUUUUAUAAACAAAAAGUUCCCAUCUCAUCAAAUUAACAUAUAUAGCGGUCAACAAAUUUGAACUCAAAUUGAAUUUUUUAAUCAAAUAUUUGAGAUAACUAAGAUUUCUUGUGAAUACUUCCAAUUAUGAAUUUGAAAAAUAUGAGGAAUAUUCAUAAAAUAUAUUAAAGAAUUUAGGAUUUGUGAUAUUAAAAAUAUGGAAUUAAUUAAUAUAAUUUGAUUAAGAAAAAAAAAUUAACUAAUCAAACAGGCUCAUACUUGAAACAAUUGGGCUUCCAAGUCCCAUCUUUAUUUUUAAUUUUUUUUUAAUCUUUUUAACUUCGCAAACCCUUCCAUAUUUUUAAGGUUUGAGAAUUUUAUUAAAACUCUAAUAUUAGUAUGAUAGGUUUAAGUAUUGUAUUGUCCUACCUGAUUACAUAUAUAAUUAAAUUUUAUUUUUUAAUUUUUAAUCUAUGAAGAAUGAAAAAUUCAAUUCUUAUAGAAAUAAAUUAUAAAUUAUUAUAAUUUAAAAAAAAUAAUUAAAAAUUAAAUAAGGUUGGGUGGGCAAGGAAGGUACUAAAAAUUCUCUGCCCACUCAUGACGUCCCUCCCCCCAAAUUUAAACUUGAAGGUGACCUAUUUUAUAAUAGUGUCACAUACACGAUGUAGAACAAUUAUAAAGGCACAAAUCACAACUUGAAAAGUUAGUUGAUUUGAACGAAUAAAUAAAGCAAAUAAAUAUUAUAAUUAUCUUAAUUAAUUAUAAUAAUUAAAAUAAAUGAUAAUUAUUAAGGGAUAAUUAUUUUUAAAAAUUUUAAUUUUAAUAAUGUGGACCCCUCGUUUUGGGUCAACAGGAGACAUCUUUUUGGUUGGUUUGGAGGCUUGUAGACUUUUGCAAUAUUUUUGCCACCUUUCAGAGGGAGACACGUGGACAGGAGGUGAACUAUGAGUGAAGUGGUGAUUUUCCUGUAGGAGAGGGGAUUUUGUGUGAGGGGUUAGAGAGAGUUGGCUACAAGAGUGGCACGUUGAGGGGUUUUUGGAGAGGUGCGGAGGAGGCUUGGACGGCAAGAAAGGAAGCAAGGACAAGGAGAGCAAGAAAAGGAAAGAGCAGAGGAAAGGGAGAGCCCAAGGAAGGGAAGCCGAGCAAGCUUUGCUUGAAAAAACAAAAACAAAAAAACAAACUUGUCAUCCUUCCAUUACUUUUCACUCUGCUAUUAGCUUCAGUGACAGCUUCAGAUCCUACUGUGGAAAAGUUUGCCACAAUGUGUCUCUCUCAAUUCCGAGAUUCUUAUCCCAGUACCCACUGCCUUUUACACCCCAAACACCACUUCUUUCAGUGCUAUUUUGCAGUCUUCUGCCCAUAACCUCAGGUACCCCAAACCUGAGUUUUUAAAAACAAUUACAAAACAUAUAAAAAAAAAUUUUAAUUUGUUUUCUAUUUUUUAAAUAUAUUCUUAUUAAUAGUUUACCUUGAUGAAAAAACAAGUUUAUUUUUUAGACUUUGCUUUGAAAACAGGUUUUUACUAGAAUAACUUUUAAAGUGUUUUAGGUUAGUUUCUUUUUCUUUUUCUUUUUCUUUUGUUGAUAGUUUUUGAGCAAUAAUUAAAAAUAAAAAAUAUUUUGAUUUUUUUCAUUACACAUAGGUUUAUAAUAUAUUUAUAGAGAAUAAGCCUAGAAGAUUGCAUUUAAUAUUUGUGUUCAAUUUUAAUUUUUUUUUUUUAGUAUGGUUCUAAAAAUCUAUUUUUUAAAACGUGGGUGAAAGAGGCCCUUAAAUUCUCUUAUUUGUUAUGGGAUAAAAAAUACCAUAAAAAUCAAAUUUGAUUAUACUUUAUAUAUUUUUAAAUUCUUUGUUUCUUAUAUGAAAAAAUACAAGAAAGGAAAAGAAAAUAUGAAAAAAUCUUAGGCUUUAGUUAGUAACCAUUUUUAAAGAAAAACAAAUUCCUAACUUAAAAAAUAAUUCUAUCAAUUUUUGAUGAAAAAAACAAGUUUUUUCUAGAAUAAUUUUAAAGUGUUUUGAGUUGUUUCUUUUGAUAAGUUUUUGAGCAAAAUUUAAAAAUAAAAAAUAUUUUGAAAUUUUUUAAAUUAUACAUAAGUAUAUAAUAUAUUUAUAGAGAAUAAGCCUAAAAGAUGGCAUUUAAUAUUUGUAUUCAAUUCUGAAAACUUUUUUUAGUACAGUUUUAAAAAUCUAUUUUUUGAAAACUAUUUUUUAAAACGUUGAUGAAGGGCCACUCAAAUUCUCUUAUUUUUUAUGGGAUAAAAAACAAUAAAAAUCAAAUUUCAUUAAAAUUUAUAUAUUUUUAAAUUCUUUGUUUCUUACAUCAAGGUCAAGAGAAAUAAAUUUUAAAAACAAAAUUCUUUUAUCAUUUUUUCCCUUGAGAAGAAGAAGCAAAAGAAUAGUAUUGGAUGGUUGGUGGCCAAUCCAUUUACAAAAGGUAGACAACUCUACAUGCAAGUGGAGUUAAGUCUCAUGAUAGGCCGCACUCUUCGCUGCAUGAGGUUGAGGGUGUUCUUGUCACUUUAGGGAGCCCCAUAUUCAAAUGUUGUUAAAUUGUUUUGAGUAUGUCCGGCGAAAGACAGUUGUUGCAACAGCUGUGGUCAUAAUCCAUUCAUUCAAUGAUGUUAGGAUGUAUCAAACUGUGUUUGGUCUAUGGUCAUGCAGAAAAAAAACAGUUUUUUUUUUUUUUUUUUUUUAUUUUAAAAACGAGAGUGAUUGAUAAGAUGUUUUAAAAACAAAAAACAAAACACUUGCCACCUUUUAUAGCGAGGUUUUUGUUUUUGUCCCAAUUGGCUCGUAAUACCAUAGAUUUUUAUCAUAGACUUUUGUCCCAUUCAUAUGUAUUACAAUCAUACGUUAUAUACUCAACAAUUAAUUAUUAUAAUUAAAAUAAUGAUAACUAUGAUAAUUAGUAAGAUAUCUCUAGAAAAUUUAGAGAUAAUAUUAAAAUAAAAAUUUUAAUGAGACAAUUUAAAGAUUAAAGAUAAUUUUGAGAGUUCUUGAAGAAAAUUUGAAGAUUUCUUCGAGAAUCGAAGAAGAUUUGAAGAUUUCUUGAGGAAAAGAAGAUUUGAAGAUUCCCUUUUAUUAAAAAAAACUCUAUAAUUACUAUUAUUCUCUAAUAAUUCCUAAUUCUGCUUUAUUCCACUCAAGUAUAUGUAUGUCUUAAUUUCACUUCCAAGGGCAAAGUUAUAAAUCCUCUAUUCUAUUAAUUUGUACCAUGAUCUAAUUGCUUUAUGUCCUUAGUCACAUUGCUUCAUAUUUUUGUCCCAAUUAUGAGAUAUGGUGGACUCUAGAAUUUUAAUUGAGUUAAAAUGUUUUUAUUAGAUUAUUAAAAACUGGACAAACGCUCAAACCUAAUUCUCAAGUGCUCAAACUUGGCGCUUAAGCACUUUGAGAGCACUCAAGAAGGGGAAGCUUGAGUGUUUGAAACAUAUUUUUCCAAAUUUGAAUUCUCGAUUUUGUUUUAAGAAUUGGUUUUUGGAAACUUUAAUUACAUAUCUAUCCACUAGGGUUUCAUUCCUCUAUAAACAUUAUGCCUAAAAAAUUUCAUUAUUGAUGCAAAUUUGAAAAAGAGAUUAUUAGCCUUUACUACAUUCUAAAACUCCCAAGUUUUUAUAAUUCUCAUUCUUUGGGUUCGUGAGAAAAUAUGUAUCCUUUCAGGUAUUGAGAUAGUCUAUUGGUUGCACAUGCGUGCUGCAUUGAAAACUUGAAAACUAGUCUAUGUAUUAGUGAAUAAAACUUAGGGAUAAUAUAUAUCCACUAUGUAAAUUUGUAUAUUUUUCUUUUAACAGAAGAUUUGUGUUUUACGGUCUUUAAUCCUAUUAUUUUUUAUAUUUAUAUGAUCUUUGGGAGACUUUGUAGAUGGUUUUCCACAAAAAAAUUGUUGAUUUCUCUUCUUUCUUUCUAAUUAUUGAAGAAGAAUUAAAAAUAAAUAAAAAUUGUACUACAAAAAAGUUAUUACAUAUUCACCCAUCUCUUUGUUUCGUAAUCAAAAUGUACAAACUUUUAACAUGCUAUAUAAUUAAUUUAUAAAACGUGGAGAAAAUUUUCUAAAUGUAAUUAAGAUAGAGAAUUCCAAGCACAAUUAAGGUUGAUGGAUUUAGUAUGAGUUAAAGAGGAAUUAAAAAUAAAAAUUUUGAUUAAAAAAAAGUUAAUACAUAUUCACUCCUUUUAAGUGUUUUAUAAUCAAAAUGCACAAUCUUGUAGUAUUUCAUAGAAUUAACUUAUAAAAUGUGAAGAAGACUUCGAGAGUAUAAUUAAGAUAAAGAAUUCCUAGCACAAGAUUGAUGGGUUUUUUUGAGUGCAUUCAUCAUUGAGUUGUAAUUAUAUCAAAGUUGUUAAAAUAAUUUAUUAAAUUAUUAAAUAGGUUUCAUUCUUUUAAAAUAGGAGUGACAUUGGAAGUGAGACUACCAAGUCAAUAACCAAUGCUUUUGGACCACUUACAUAGUUCCAUGGAUGUCACUUUGGAUGGGACUGCAUUGAAGCCCUUUUCCAUCUCCUUACCCACUUAUUCUAAGAAGGUUUUUGCCCACCGAUUACUCUCCCUUCCUCAACCAUUACUUUUAUGAACCUCAUCCUCUUCUUCACAACUACCUUUUCUUCUUGCUCUCUUGGAGAAAAGAUGCAUUUUUUUUCACCUUAUGUUUUAAUGCUUUUUUGGGUGCAUUGCUUCACUCCCAUGGUGUUGUCCAUCAAUUUAGUUGAUGAGUUUGCUCUUAUUGCCUUAAAAUCCCAUAUCACAUAUGAUUCCCAGGGCAUUUUGGCAACAAAUUGGUCUACCAAAAGCUCCUACUGCAAUUGGUAUGGUAUUUCUUGCAAUGCUCCUCAACAAAGAGUUUCUGUAAUCAACCUCUCUAGCAUGGGUCUUGAAGGAACUAUUGCACCACAAGUGGGCAACCUCUCCUUUCUUGUUUCCCUUGAUCUUAGUAAUAACUACUUCCAUGACUCUCUUCCCAAGGAUAUUGGUAAGAUUCUCAUAAAUUUUAUCUACUUUAUGACAAUGCUCAUGUUUCUUGCUUCAAUAUUUAAUAUCAAUAAAGGCAAUUCAUGUUUGGUUCCCAAAAAUUUAAGAAAAAAUACGAGUGAAAAAAAGAAAAAGAAAAAAAGAGGAAAAGUAAAAGAAAAUAAAAAAUAAUUUUAAAAUCAACAAAUUAUUUUUGUAUUUUGUUUUAAAUUCAUUUUACUUAUUUUAACUUUUUUAUAUAAAGAUCAAAUAAUUUGAAAAAUACAAAAGUUUUAACUAAUUUUAAUUAUAAAUUAUUUUCUUCUCCAAUCUUGGGGCAUGGUUGGGAUUAUGAUGAUGUUUGUCUUUCAAAAAUGAUGAAAGGAAAACAAUUAAGUUGUGAUAAAGAUAGUUGAGUAAUUGGUAAAUUAUAGUUUCAAAAAUAAUAAUUAAAUAUUUGGUAAAUUGGAUUGCUAAAUUAUUAUGAUCAUGUUUGAUAUAAAAUUCAUAAUUAAAUAAAUUAUUAUACAAUUUAAAAAUUAGUUCAUUUUUUUUAUCAUUUCUUAAUUUUUUUUUCUUCUAUUUUGAAUGAAUUCAAGUAAACAUAAUCAUACUGGUUGUAAUAAUUUUUAUUUUAAAUUUUAGAAUAAGUAAUACCAAACACAAAUUAGAACAUCUUUCAUUUGAUAGUUCAUUUUAAAUAUAGAAACUUUUGAUCCAAAAAAAUUAAAUUAUUGAAAAAAAAAACAACAUAAUUUGAGGAAAUAUAUUAUACAUUAAAAUGAAAUAAAAUAUCUAAUAGAUAUGAAAUCAUUUCAUAUAUAUAUAUAACUUAAUUUAAUUUAAUAUAAUAUAGUUAAAGCUAUUAUAUAAUAUUUAUUUGUGACAAACAAUAGUAGAUAUUUUUGUUGUUAAUAUUCCCAAUAAAAAAUAAAAAUAAACCAUCAAUUAGCUAAUUAUAUUCUAUACUCCACAUUUGUGUUAAGUGUAUAGUUAGUUUCACAAAUUACUUGAUAAUAUAUUAUAGAGCAAGAGACAUUAUUGUACACAAUUCAAACCAUCAUAUAGGCUACCUAAAUGUUUGGCAACCAUCAAUAUGUGAUUCAUGAUAUGUUUUCCUCCAAAUUAGUGCUAUUCAUGACAAGUUUUGCUCAAUAUUAGUGCCUCUUUUAAAUAUUGUCGUUAUGCUUGAUUUCAAGAAAGUAUUAAGAAAAAAAUAUUAACGAAAAUAAUUUUUUAUAUAUGCUUUUACUAUGAAAAAUAUAUAAAAAAUAAAAUAUAAUUAAAAUCAAUUAAAACUUAUCUAUUUUUAAAUUAUUUAAUCUUUAUAUAGAAGAAUUAAAACAAGUGAAAUAGCUUAUAAAUAAUCUAUUGAUUUUAAAUCUACUUCCUAGUUUUCUUUACUUUUUUUAUUUUCAUUUUUCCUCUCUAUUUUCUUUUCCUCUUAUUUUCUUGGAAUCAAGCAAAACCUUUGACUAUGUUUGGUUCCCAAAAAAAUGUGAGGGAAAAAUAAAAUAAAAACAUAGAAGAAAAAAAAUAGAUUUAAAAUUAAUAAAUUAAUUUUAUAUAUUGUUUCAAAUUCAUUUAAAAAAAAUAGAUUUAAAGUAAAUAAAUUGAUUUUAUUUGUUUCUUCAAAUUCAUUUACAUAUUUUAAUCUUUCUAUAUAAGAAAUUAAUAAUUUAAAAAUGCAUAAAAUUUUAAUUAAAUUUAAUUACAUUUUAUUAUGGUUCUUAUUUUCUAUAGUAAAAUCAAUCAUGAGAAACUAAUUUUUUUUAAAUAUUUUUUUUCUUUCUUUUAUUAUCGGAACCAAACAUAUUCUAUAUGUUGAUGAUAAUAAUAUUUCAAAUCAUUUUUUUCAGGUAAGUGCAAGGAGCUUCAACAGCUGAAUUUAUUUAAUAAUAAAUUGGUUGGAGGCAUUCCAGAAGCCAUUUGUAAUUUAUCAAAACUUGAAGAGCUAUAUCUUGGCAAUAAUCAGUUGAUUGGUGAAAUUCCAAAGAAAAUGAAUCAUCUUCAGAAUCUGAAGGUAUUGUCAUUCCCAAUGAACAACUUAACAGGUUCCAUACCGGCCACCAUUUUCAAUAUAUCUUCUUUGCUCAAUAUUAGUCUCUCCAAUAAUAACCUCUCUGGGAGUCUUCCCAAGGAUAUGCGCUACGCCAAUCCAAAGCUCAAGGAGCUUAAUCUUUCAUCAAAUCAUUUGAGUGGAAAGAUCCCCACUGGUUUAGGCCAAUGUAUACAGCUUCAAGUAAUUUCCUUAGCA
rnacentral:lncRNA from 1 species